GCGCCAGUGGUGUAAUGGUAUCAUACAAGCUUCCCAUUCUUGUGAACUGGGUUCAAUUCCCGGCUGGCACG
rnacentral:tRNA from 1 species